UCGAGAAUCAUUCGCAAUGGGCGAAAGCCUGACGAUGCGACGCCGUGUGUAUGAUGAAGGCCUUCGGGUUGUAAAGUACUUUCGCCUGUGAACAAGAGAAGCUAGCUAACAUCUAGCUGAUUUGAGGGUAGCAGGUAAAGAAGCACCGGCUAACUCCGUGCCAGCAGCUGCGGUAAUACGGAGGGUGCAAGCAUUAAUCGGAUUUAUUGGGCGUAAAGGGCGCGUAGGCGGAAAGAAAAGUCAGAUGUGAAAUCCCGAGGCUUAACCUCGGACCCGCAUUUGAAACUCUCUUUCUAGAGGGUAGAUGGAGAAAACGGAAUUCCACGUGUAGCGGUGAAAUGCGUAGAUAUGUGGAAGAACAUCUGUGGCGAAGGCGGUUUUCUAAUUUACACCUGACGCUGAGGCGCGAAAGUAAGGGGAUCAAACAGGAUUAGAUACCCCCGUAGUCC
rnacentral:rRNA from 1 species